CGGAGGGUGCAAGCAUUGAUCGGAAUUACUGGGCGUAAAGGGCGCGUAGGCGGCUUUGAAAGUCAGAUGUGAAAUUCUGGGGCUCAACCCCAGAGCUGCAUUUGAAACUCCAGAGCUUAGAGGAUGGUGAGGGAAAACGGAAUUCCACGUGUAGCGGUGAAAUGCGUAGAUAUGUGGAAGAACACCAGUGGUGAAGACGGUUUUCUGUGCCAAACCAGACGCUGAAGCGCGAAAGCUAGGGGGGCAAACAGGAUUAGAUACCCUGGUAGUCCUAGCCAUAAACGAUGCAUACUAGAUGUAGGAAGGCUCAACCCUUUCUGUAUCGGAGCUAACGCGUUAAGUAUGCCGCCUGGGGAGUACGCUCGCAAGGGUG
rnacentral:rRNA from 1 species